rnacentral:rRNA from 1 species
GAAGAGCGAUGGAAGCUUGCUUUCUAUCAAUCUUAGUGGCGAAACGGGUGAGUAACGGUAAUCAACCUGCCCUUCAGAGGGGGACAACAGUUGGAAACGACUGCUAAUACCGCAUCGAUUAAUCUCGGCAUCGAGGAUAGAUGAAAGGUGGCCUCUAUGUAUAAGCUAUCACCUGAAGGAGGGGAUUGCGUCGAUUAGCUAGUUGGAGGGGUAACGGCCCACCAAGGCGAUGAUCAGUAGCCGGUUUGAGAGGAUGAACGGCCACAUUGGGACUGAGACACGGCCCAGACUCAUACGGGAGGCAGCAGUGGGGAAUCUUCCGCAAUGGACGAAAGUCUGACGGAGCAACGCCGCGUGAGUGAUGACG